rnacentral:lncRNA from 1 species
AGCCAGCAGCGCCCGGUCGGCCGCUGGCCGCAGGAGAAAGUAAACAACACCCCAAGUGUCCGGGAACAAAGUGAUCCUCCGACUGUGAAAAACCAGACCUCUGGCUGCCUGGCUCCCUAGGAAUCAAGAAGACGCACAGACUGAAAAUCAAGGGAGGAAGGAACAAGAUCAAGGAUGAGGAUUAGCAUCUGCAAAUUGAACUCUAUCUAAUUUGCAUGUUUAUUUCUUAGAAUUGUAAUUAAAUUUGUGUAAUAAAUGUUUUCCAUUUCAUUUGUACACUUAAAACUUGGGUGACUGACAUGCAGUUAAGUGAAUUUCCUUUUUUUAAAAGCAAAUGUAGAUUAUUCAAUAAAGCAGCAAACCAAUAUUAAACAUAAUUAGAACUAA